UUUUGGUAGAGUUGUGCGUAAAACGUGUUAAACAUAGAGGAAUGAUGUAGAAAAUUGUCACAGAUUGAUUUAACUUCUCUGAUACUUAGGUGACAUGUAGAAGAGUGCCGAGAGGAGUGUUCCUGAUGGACCUAGGGAAGCAAAGCAGCUGAUCCACGAAGCCUAGUCCAUGAAUGAGAGGUCCAAACCAAGUCCAAUAUGGAGAAGAAGAUAUAAAUUCGGCAGAAUUUCAAGAAUAUCCAAGCCUUGCAAAUCCAGAUUAAAUCGGGAGAAUUCCUGUGCACGUCUGUCAACUUUAACGGACUCUCCAGGACAGCUCACAAUGAAUCAGAAAACGUGCCAGAUAUGGAUAGAGAGCUACGGGAGUCUAGUUUCCGAAUCAAUUGGAAUCACCUCAAUAUCUAUUUUCUAGAGGGAGUUAUGAAGUAAUCAUCAGACGGAGGUCAUUCUGCCGAAAUUGAGAAGAACUAGGAAUCCUAAACCAACUUGGUUUAGGCUUUGUGGCCGACUUCUCUAGGGUUUUUCCUCUAUAUAAAACACGACUUCAAGAGCAGAAAAACAUCAUCUC